UUAACUAUUCCUGCAUAUUACACUCCUCACGAUCAUAGCACCUAAUCGCACAUGAUGCAUAAGCUGACACAAACCUUCAGAUCUUGAACCUCUCAAUACCACUUCGGCGGAUAGCACAAUGAAAACAGUAGCCAUGAUCUCCUUAUCUUUGUUUGACUUUCGGGAAUACAAGUCUAUACAGGUUUCAAGAUUGCUUACAGAAAUGAAGAGACAUAAUGACUAUUUCCUAAGAAAUAUAUGCAUGCUAUAAAGCCAUGCUAGACUUUAUAGCAUGCAUAUCAAACGCAUCACAACUACCUGCAAAACAAGGUCAGAUUUCAUUAUCUCCCAGCUUUGCGUCAAAAC
rnacentral:lncRNA from 1 species